GUGCAUGGGGCGUGAGCAUCACGAUUCAUAUGGGGGAUAUGAACAUAAGAUGAUCUCCUGUGAGCCAGAAGCAAAGAGCAGAACACAUACCUAUUCAUUCUCAGUCCGCUGUCUGUUCAGUGGAUUGCACUGCAGUUCAUUUGCAUAGGUCACAUAUGUCUGGCUCAAAAUGUAUCAGCAUUCCAUGUCUCCGUCUGACAUGUCUGUCCUGGAAAUUUUUCUUAUCUCCAAAGAAUAAUUCUAGUACUGCACCUGCAUAUCAAAAGCCUGGCAAGAAUUCUCUGCAUUCAGAGCAAUCACAAAAUGGGUUUACUGUUGUAAUUCUUUUGAAACAGUUUCAGAGAAAACAGCAAUGAUGACAAGCCAAGUUCUGCUUUCAGUUAUAUGAGCUCAAUUCAAUUCACUGCAGUAAAGCAAAAAAAAAAAAAGAAAAGAAAACCAACAACAAAACAGGUAAGGAGAGCAAACACUUGGCUCCUGACCAGGAAGAUACUUUGAAAUGUUUCUAGCUAGUCCAGAACUAAGUUGCUCAAGUGGAGCACUGCAGCCUGGGGGAGUGAGGUCAGUGCCUUCAUACUUCCAACAGGAGAACAUUGCAGCCAUUACUAUCCAUCUAUCUCAAGUCCUGCACUGCUGCUGUGGUAAGCCUGGCUAAUACCAGGAAUUACCUGGAGGUGAUGAAAGAGCAGUUGGAAGAGGAGGAAGAGUGCAAAAUAGAAGUUCAGCGUCUGGUCUCUGAACUCAGUACUGAAAUCAAAGUCUAAAAGCAUGACACUAAGAGCCCUGGAAGAACCAGAAAGCUGGAAGAAACAAGGUGAGCACACAGCUUUCAGGGAGAAUGGGGCAGGACUUAGAGUAGCUUGUUAUUUAGUUUGGCUGCUGAGUCACAGCUUAUAGAUGUGACCUGUUAGGACUCAUUUUUAUAAGACAAAGGAAGGAGAGCACUGCCGCCAAGAAGAAAAGAACAUCUGCAAUAAUAAAUAGGGACUACUGAGAUCUAACCCUUGUAUGCUGGCAACAGAAGAACAAUGCUGUACCUUUCCAGUAAAGGCUUGAAGUUGGGCAGCUUUCCCUUACUCCAACAGGACCUCUGCUCUUCCAGCAGCCCUACAAAAGCCACUAGCAUUUCCUGAGAAAAAAGAAUGCACCCAAAUCAGAUUGAAGCCCCUGGAAUGUGCUCCUUGAGAUCUGGUAACGGAGGCAAGAAGUUAAGGCCAUCUUUUAACAGUCUCUCUCUAGCAGAGCUAACAAAGAUGCUUUCACAGAACAGAAAAGCUAAGGCACCUGGAGGGUUUUAACCACGUGCCUGAGACAAGCCGAGACAAAAUAAGCUAUUCUAUCUCUGCCUUAGUCCCAUAGAUUGUCACAGGGAGUGAAGCUACCUUGCUCUUUGACAUUAUUACUGUCCUGGGGAUACCUAAACAGAAGGACAACCCAGCAAUGAGGAACUGAGCUGCAGUCCACUAUGAUGUUUGUACCUGGGGAGAGGAAGAUCCAGCCACAUCCUAGUCGUGGUUUUACAGUCACUUUUCUGAGAUUGCUUUCAGGAUUACUGGUGAAAAUAGCAGUAGUGCUCAAGGAGAUGACAGCUGCUGACCCCCAGAACUCCUCACUCCAUGAACUACUGAGUUAUUUCUGCCCCCACUCCUUUGGGACAAAGUUGGCUGUGAGGGUCCAAGCAGCAAAGCAGACAGCUGAAUCAGUCCAAGUCUGCCCAGGCAGCACUAAGCAGAGGCUUCAGACAAAAAAAAAUGAAGAACCCCACUCCUUACCUGGAAAAGGCAAGAAAUUCAGCCAUUCAAGAAUACAUCUAACACAAGCCUGACCAGCGAGACCUGAUGGUGGAACCCCUCCCCUGGGAAUCAGCUUUGGGCUGAUCCCUUAUUUCUUAAUACUUUAAGAUCUCUCUAUCAAAUGUCACUGUAAUGUGUAUGACCAAGAGAAGAAAGGCAAAGAUGAGCCACAGCUAAUUCUUAGGAGCACACAGCAUGCUGCUCAUAAACUUGUUAGCUGUCUUCCAGAAAUAAUAGCAGCUGAAGUAAAAGCCCCCCUCAAAUACAAGGCAAGGUAUUCAUCUUCUUUUUAAGGAUAAUGAGAUCCUGCUUUGAACUCUUCAGUGUUGCAGUACCAGUGGGUUGUUUCACCAUCACUGCCUCUAAUGAAGCAGUUCUGUACUCUUCAGUUUGUGGCGUGCUUAUCACCAUGGUAUCUGACUGCAUGUACUGAUCAUAAAAAUACGUCAAAUAUUUGUGAUUAAAAGCUCCCAGGAAAGAAAAAACGUUCCUUCAUUCUUUCCCUUCAUGACAAGCCAUUAAACACAGUCUAGAAUAGUCUUAAAUAACAUCUUGUUUCUAACUGAAUCUUCUUUGAAGCAGAAAGUCACACUAAUCAACCCAGGCAAUUACUAACAGCACAUCUGCACGACGAAUAUCUGAAGUGGAAAACAUUUGCUCCACAGCAGCAUCAUUAUAACGGCAGGAGCAAGGAAGACUAUCACACUGAUGGGAACUGGGGGAUCUUGUUAAAUUCCUAAUGGCCAAUGCUGCUUGUGCUGCUCUGGAAGAAGGAGAGAGCCUUUGAGAAGAUGCUGGCAGAAUGGCAACAAGAAAAUAUGAAGAGCUGCAGGUGGAAGUGAACACUUCCCAGAAGCAAUAUGCAUGACUGAAUGAGGCAUCUCCAGGAAUCAGUUCCAAGGAUGUCACUUGAACUCCCAGAGCCUCCCUUACUUGCUAUACAGGGAGACAAGCUGCCUUGGCUUUUUUUCUUUUUAAUAAAUGAAAAUAUUCUGUAAAUUGUAAAAAUUGAUCUCCUCCAGGAGGCUGAAAGAUGACACUGUCAAUAUUUAGAAGAUGCAGAUUUAGAAUCUGCUUGCCUUUGCAGCCAAGAGAAAAUGGUGAUGGAGUCCCUGGCAGAGAUCCAGCGCUUCCUGGGCUGUCUCUCCCAACCUAUUACUCUGGCCUACAUCACCUGGCAAAGUGCCUCAUUCUGUUGCAUAGAGACAACGUGGAAUCCUAUUUGCAUUUUGUAUGAGCAACCAUCUGAAAAUGGGAGAGGGGAAGACUAGGCUAAAAACUGGAAAAAAUUUCUCGUGAUUUAAUGGGCUUCACUCUUCUGCCUCCAUGAUCACAUAGAGCUAGCAGGGCUCCUUCAGAAAUCCAGGAUAAUAGUUAGCAAUGAGAAAAAGGGCAGCUAAUGUGAAGUGACUGGAGCCAUUUCAUGCCAUUUCUAUUCAAAGAAUCUGUCUGGCGCACUUGGUAAAGUUCACAGUCCUGAAAUAAACCUAUCACAUGAAAUAUCUGUUCUCUUCCCUGGAGGAAAUUAAGGAUCUAAUCAAUCAGCUGAGGAAAGGAGGGCACAGCAUUCACGAGCUGCAGAAGAUAAGAUUGAAGACUGAUUAGGAUGAACUGCAGGUGGCACUGGAGGAAGCAGUCUUCCCUAGAAGUACCAGUGCCACAGAUGUGAGAGCUGCAUGCAGGCCUGAUGCCUGCUUGCCCACAUUCCACUGAAUAGAUUCUGUACGUAUAAUCCCACAGAGCACCUUUGUUCAUUCUUCUGCUGCACCUCUCCUUACAGAUCUGCAUUCAGUUUGAACUGUUUCAGGUUAAAGCUGAAAUUGAUAGAGAUCAGAAGGAAGAAUCUGAAAUAAUCAGGUGUAGCAAUAUGACAUUAAGUUAUACACCAAAGCUGCAGCAAGGUUUAAGUUAGAGACUAGGUAAGUUUUCUAGUUGUAGGGGGAAUUACUCCUGGGACAAGAUGGUCUGGAGAUCAUGGAGUCUCCAUUACUGGAAGUUAGGUACAGUCUGGUCACACAUCCAGGAACUGGUUUGACAGAUAACCCCAAUUUUAGAUAGAUUUUUAAGAUGACUUCUUGAAAGCUCUCCUAGCCCUAUGUUUUAAAAGAAGGUAUUCUAGUUUGGUGCAGAAUCUUAGUACCUCAGUUUUAAACAGGCUUAGAAAUUGACUGUUUUUAUUACUUGGUGGACAAUAAUUUGAUCCAAAGGCUGGAUUAGAUUCAACAUAACAGAAUGCUGUGCCAUAUGCUUCACUGCACUCUGCAGGAAAAUCACCAGCAUGCAAUUGAGUCUCCACAGGUGAGUCUGGAAACUGAAUCAACAGGGCAUGCUGGAACUUCCAAGCUCAAGAAGAUGGAAACAGACCCAAACAAAGUGGAAAUCUGAGGGCAUCAUGCCAACAGUAACAAUAACGAGCUUGUCAAGAUGCUGAAUCAACUGCAACAGAAUGUCAAGCUGAACUGCAGGAGGUGCAAGCAGGACCCCAAAUAAAAAAAGCAUGCCAGUUCUAUCUUAUACCUUAAGCAAUAAAGUAAUAAAUUAUGUAGUCUUGUUCAGACAUCUUGAGCAAAUUGAGAAUUUAUUCAUUAGUCCCAGCUCUCCCACUGACAGCAAUUUCAACCUGCAGUAGUUCCAACAAACCUUGUAGAAGAUAAGCAUUACUAUCAGCUUUUCUCAAGUUAGAAUCCCAGAGAAUCACAUGUAUGUGAUCAGAAAAAAAGUGCUGUUUGCAUUAGUAUAGCCACAGACCUGACUAGGACUUAACCAAGAGUAAAAGCACAGAGCUUCCUUUGGAACCUCUUUCAAAAGGAAAACCCAGAAAAAGGGUGACAAAGCUAGACUCUGCUGGAACAGUAGUACAGUUGCUGCCAAAAAUACAAUUUCAGUAACUGAAAGAGUAACAUGACUCUCUCCACUCGGGUGUGUGCAUAUACACACACCAGCCUAACUCGACCUCUGUUACAUCUGUCUCAGUCAGAAGAGCCUCUCACAGAGAAUGUGGCUGCAAUGACUGCAGCCAGGCACAAACAACACCAGGAUAAAACACUGUCUUGUUUUUUGUUUUAACGUGGCAACACCUUAAGGACAAGCCUCGCAGAGAAACCUCCAUCUUUCAGCUUCUUCUCCAUUCAUUAUUUUCUCUUUCACCUGCUUUCAGGACCUUUGAAUUCAAAUGGAUGAAGGUGAUUACCAGCAUGAGAAAGGUGCAGGAACACCUCCUCAGCCCACUACUGACAGAGCUGGAAGGGGCACAGACUGCCCUAGAGAGCAGUGGGUGCCCUCCCAAACUCCCAGAGAGGGCAGAGGUUAUAGACAGACAUAGUGAAAACAAUGGCUGUGCAUAGAAAAGGUUAUUUAUGCAACAGCUAUUUUGACAGUUUAUAUGCAGGUUGUUUAACACUCAACCUUUGAGUAAGAAGUGCAGGAUUAGGCCAAUAAUGGACAAACAUAACACUGCUCUGUAAGGAAAUUCUGUGGAACCUGAAGAGCUCAGUCAUUAGAAUAAUUAUACUUAUGAUGGACGGCAAGACUUGUGUUUAUUUUAAGCAAAGUCUGGACUAUCUUGGCUCAGUUUUGCUCCUAGCAAGGCCUAUGAAAAGGCUUUUAGCAGAUUUGGUGGAAGAGUUAAGACAGUGCUGAGCACUCCUGAAAAACCUGCCUUAAAAAGGGCAGUAUAAAAUUCUGACUCCAUUGAAACUACAGUUCUGUUAGUUGUCUCCAUGGUGCUGGGACUUCUCCAUGGAAUGCAGCCCACAGCAAGAUCUACUUCAGUGUAAUUUUAAGCAUCUUUCUGUUACAGAUUGCAGUAUGAAAUAUCAUACCUGCCAUUUCAUUCUGUGCAGAGAUCUAAGAAGCUAUUUUAACAUUCACCACAGCCUGCAGUUCAUUUCCAUGAAGGAUAGACUACACACACAAACAUCUGCAAGGAAAAGAAUACGAGUUCUGGAAUGGACUGACACCACAAGAAGCAUUUCUCAGCUGCAAUUAUGGGACAUCAGUUGUGAGAACUGAGCCAUAAAUGCAACUGUUACUCAAAUAGGUUAGAAACUCAAACAACACGUUUACCUGCAACAGACUAGUGAUUAAAGGACACAUUUUUAGCAGGUGAACUGCAACCUCCAUGACAAAUUGGGAGUUUUAAGGUUUGUUAAUACAAAACCUAUAUAGCACAGCAGUUGUGCAGCAUUCUAGAACACAACAGCACAUUUACUUGAUAUUCUUCUGCUGAAGGGCAGUGUGUUGUUAGAAUGCAGUCUUUCUAUUAAAGCCCUUGUAGUUCUUCUUCCUUAGAGUGGUGCUUAUUUUUUAUUAUUAUUAUUAUUUUUCUUUACAGCAACAGUCCUCCAGUGAUUUGUAUCAGUAAACAGUAAGCACUAAACAAGCUGUGGAGCUCAUAUUUUCCAUGAGAUAAAAAGACACACAUUGUAAAUUCUGGAGCAGAGACUAUAUUUGUUUGUUGAGAUUGCAAUCAAACACAUUUUCAGUCAGGUCUAAAGCCAGCUGCUGCUACUGCAGCUUAACUUCGAAAUAAAUAAUAUUGGUAUAUAUACUCAACUCCAUGUACACAGAUAUCCAGUAAAACAGACUCAGAAUCGAGGACUCUGUAAACAACAGGGUCUAUUCCUGCCUCAGACUGCAUCAUCAUUUUAGCCUUCAUUUAGCAUUAAGGUAAAUAGAGAGGUCCUAAUGUUCCACAGCACACAUACAGUGGGAGUGAAUUCCAGUCAACUUAGUAGUGCACAGUUUUAUAGAGAAAAGUAAGCUACCAAAAACUAAGCCACAAAUCACUUAAUGAGAUAAAUGGAAUCCCCAGAGCUGAGCAGUUUGCAUUCAGGGAAUCCAGGACUCCUUUAUUUUCUAGGAAGAAUCUGCCUGCUAUUAGAUGAAGUCAAAAGUUGAUUGUUACCAUACUACUAACAAGCAUGAGGAAAUCGUCCCUGAGCACUGAAAAGCUGAUGAGAAAGCAAAGAAAGUUGUGGCUGAUCCAGGUUACCUCUCCACCCUUCUGCCCUUUAUAUUGGUAAAUGGAAUAUAUACCCUAAGGCUUCCAGCAUUUCUCUCCAGCAUUUAUAAGAAGAACGCUGUUAAUAACAUGUUAGCACUUGCUUUGCUUUUACAAUCCUGAAAAGCAGCAUGCUUGUUAGUUCUGACUGACUGCAGUCUAGUAAAAUUAACCCACAGAAGAAGAAAUCUACUUUCUCUAUGUCUCUUUGGUAAUUUACAUCACAGAUGGCACCCUGAGGAAUUCCUCCAUUUUCUCUCUUUAUCCCUUCUUCCAUUUAUUGCACAACUCCACCCUCACACUUACCAGGUCUCCAACACAAGAGGAGGCUAGUUUCCCCUUAGGUAGUCAAUGACAUUUGUCAUUGGCACAGAGGGGAGAAAAGUUGCCAGUACUGAGCAGAUUGCUCCAUUGGCACUGUGCUGACAACUGACACUUCAGAAAUAUCAAAGCUAGAUAUGGGUUUAAUGCAUAGCAUUUUCUCCCUGAGUAAGGAUGAGCAUCCUGCCUUUCUGUAUAAGGCUACCUCGUGUUCAGGCAAUAUCUUCACCUUCCAUCCACUGCAUGCCCCUAAAUCACAUUUUUCUACUGAAGGGUGGACAUCAAAGCCUGAAAUGUUAUUAGAACAAAGUUAUUGACUUAACAGAUAGGGAUAAUACCUUUGAGUAUUCCAGAGGUACUAAGCAAGCAUACCA
ensembl:lncRNA